UACGGGGGGGGCAGGCGUUGUUCGGAAUUACUGGGCGUAAAGGGCUCGUAGGCGGCCAACUAAGUCCGACGUGAAAUCCCCAGGCUUAACCUGGGAACUGCGUCGGAUACUGGAUGGCUUGAAUUCGGGAGAGGGAUGCAGAAUUCCAGGUGUAGCGGUGAAAUGCGUAGAUAUCUGGAGGAAUACCGGUGGCGAAGGCGGCAUCCUGGACCGACAUUGACGCUGAGGAGCGAAAGCUAGGGGAGCAAACGGG
rnacentral:rRNA from 1 species